UACGUAGGUGACAAGCGUUGUCCGGAUUUACUGGGCGUAAAGAGCGCGCAGGCGGUCGUUCAAGUCGAGUGUGAAAGCCCCCGGCUCAACUGGGGAGGGUCAUUCGAUACUGAUCGACUCGAAGGCAGGAGAGGGAAGUGGAAUUCCCGGUGUAGUGGUGAAAUGCGUAGAGAUGUGGAGGAACACCAGUGGCGAAGGCGACUUUCUGGCUUAUAACUGACGCUGAGGCGCGAAAGCGUGGGGAGCAAACAGG
rnacentral:rRNA from 1 species